CUCGCUCAGCACGCUGCCGCACGCAGUUACAGUUUAACUGAUAAUGACUAGACUGUUUUCAUCUUGCCCCCAACUGCUCCGGCUUUUCUGCCUCCUUCUGCAUCAUUCUUCUGCAUACAGGCGAAUUCUGGAGGAGGCAUCGCAUCUUAAAAUUGGCUUUUCACAGAGCCGCACAGGUUAGAGGAAGAGCAGCCUCAAAUCAGGACAUCGAAAGCACAUUUUUUGGACUGGAAAAGUGGUGACGUUGGGUCCCGUGGGAUGCUGCCUCAGUGGGAGCGAGAGUGGGCUGGAAGACAGUAUUUGGAAAUAGAUCUGCAGCAUUUUCCAAAAACAGGUGUUUAUAUAGUUAAACGUUGUUUUCUGAAGCCUCGUUAAAAGUGAAUUCUGUUGUGUCCGUGGCUGUGUAUCCAGCCCCUGGGUCUUCAAGCCUGGGCACGGGGAAGCCAG
rnacentral:lncRNA from 1 species